rnacentral:lncRNA from 1 species
UUUGUUUCAUGAUAUGAUUCAUCAUGGAAUCGAAUGCUAUGACAUGAUAGCAAAGUCCCAAUCGGAAGUGGGGCAUUUGGCGGACCGGGGCAAGUCGGUUGGAUGGUUGAGGUAAUUCAAGCUGAGGUUGAAUUCGAAUCAGUGCACUAUCGGAGUGCGAUCCGGUAAAUCGUUGGGGUUUAUUGUAAGAAGGGAAUCGAGGUUGAUCCUGCUAAAAAAG